rnacentral:rRNA from 1 species
AGGAGUUUGAUCCUGGCUCAGAUUGAACGCUGGCGGCAUGCCUUACACAUGCAAGUCGAACGGCAGCGCGGGAGCAAUCCUGGCGGCGAGUGGCGAACGGGUGAGUAAUACAUCGGAACGUGCCCAAUCGUGGGGGAUAACGCAGCGAAAGCUGUGCUAAUACCGCAUAAGAUCUACGGAUGAAAGCAGGGGACCGCAAGGCCUUGCGCGAGUGGAGCGGCCGAUGGCAGAUUAGGUAGUUGGUGAGGUAAAGGCUCACCAAGCCUUCGAUCUGUAGCUGGUCUGAGAGGACGACCAGCCACACUGGGACUGAGACACGGCCCAGACUCCUACGGGAGGCAGCAGUGGGGAAUUUUGGACAAUGGGCGCAAGCCUGAUCCAGCCAUGCCGCGUGCAGGAUGAAGGCCUUCGGGUUGUAAACUGCUUUUGUACGGAACGAAAAGGUUCUUUCUAAUAAAGAGAGCUCAUGACGGUACCGUAAGAAUAAGCACCGGCUAACUACGUGCCAGCAGCCGCGGUAAUACGUAGGGUGCAAGCGUUAAUCGGAAUUACUGGGCGUAAAGCGUGCGCAGGCGGUUAUGUAAGACAGUUGUGAAAUCCCCGGGCUCAACCUGGGAACUGCAUCUGUGACUGCAUAGCUAGAGUACGGUAGAGGGGGAUGGAAUUCCGCGUGUUAAGCAGUGAAAAUGCGUAGAUAUGCGGAGGAACACCGAUGGCGAAAGGCAAUCCCCCUGGACCUGNACUGACGCUCAUGCACGAAAAGCGUGGCGAGCAAACAGGAUUAAAUACCCUGGUAU